rnacentral:rRNA from 1 species
GGUGAACGCUGGCGGUAGGCCUAACACAUGCAAGUCGAACGGCAGCACAGAGGAGCUUGCUCCUUGGGUGGCGAGUGGCGGACGGGUGAGGAAUACAUCGGAAUCUACUCUGUCGUGGGGGAUAACGUAGGGAAACUUACGCUAAUACCGCAUACGACCUACGGGUGAAAGCAGGGGAUCUUCGGACCUUGCGCGAUAGAAUGAGCCGAUGUCGGAUUAGCUAGUUGGCGGGGUAAAGGCCCACCAAGGCGACGAUCCGUAGCUGGUCUGAGAGGAUGAUCAGCCACACUGGAACUGAGACACGGUCCAGACUCCUACGGGAGGCAGCAGUGGGGAAUAUUGGACAAUGGGCGCAAGCCUGAUCCAGCCAUACCGCGUGGGUGAAGAAGGCCUUCGGGUUGUAAAGCCCUUUUGUUGGGAAAGAAAUCCAUCUGGUUAAUACCCGGGUGGGAUGACGGUACCCAAAGAAUAAGCACCGGCUAACUUCGUGCCAGCCGCCGCAGUAA